rnacentral:Y_RNA from 1 species
GGCUGGUCCAAGGUUGUUAGUUAUCUCAAUUGACUGUUCACAGUCAGUUACAGAUUGAACUCAUCGUUCUAUUCUCUCCCCACUUCUCACUACUGCACUUGACUGGUCUUAA